CUCACACCACAGGAGAGGAGAAGCUCCAUAAUGACCCUGCUAACAUGGUGAUCCUGAAAACAAGUCACUAAACCUAUUGUUCUGUGGCCGCUCGGCUUUACCCUUUGCAAAAAUUAGAGGGAAUGGGAUGACAUGCAGCCAGGGGCCUGGUCUGGAUUAGAAUUCGGGUUUGCUGUGGUGAGGACUCAGCCAUGACAUAUGGUACAGGCUUCAACAGGCGAGCUACCAGAAGGCCCUGUCAACAUGCAUUCUUAACAGUAGCCAAAGACUGACUGUCCAGAGUUAGUCAUUGUCGUAGAAAAGAUCAACAGACUGAAAUCUCAAGGACCUUCAACCAUCGCUGCCAUCUGGGGGGAAAAAUCACACUCUUUCCAUGGCAAUGGGAAGACAGCAAAUCAGUCCAACAAGAAUGCACAAAACAAGCAGAGCCACUGGAUUCAUGGACACAACCACUCGUAUCAACAACACAGGCAAUAGUCUCUGUUGUCUUUCGACAAAAAUGAAGGCCUAUUAUAGCACAAAAGCCAAACCCCACCAUAAGUGAAAAUUCAUUAUUUAAACAUUACAGUGGAACAGGGUGGGUCCUGUGAUAACAGCCUACAGCACAAUGCACAUUGUGUAAUCGAUAUAAUUGACUGAUUUCGCACCAGCAAAAAGUGGAGGAAAUUCUGACAGGAUACUCUGCUGGGCUUCUCAGCGUCUGCAUCACUAGUUGCUGCUGCUUAUAAUGGACUGAUAUGAGCCUGAGAGGAGGUCAGUGGGGUAAUUAUCUACAUCCAUCACGAGUGAACUGAUACAAUUCGGUGCUGUUCAUUUCCUUCAUGCAGCUCUUCUUUUGAAGUACCCAGCUGCAUUUUUAAAGAAACACCAAACAUCCAUAUUCCAAAAAAUUUAAGACAGACUCAAAACUUAGGCAUGGAGGCUUUAACAGUUCGGGCACAAGUGGCUCAGUGGAUGGGCCUGGACCCACAAUGACCAUCCUGCAUCCAUAUUGCUGGAAUUGUGUCCCAAUGCCAACUACCACUGCCCCUAUUAGUGCGUGCUUCGAAUUGCAAGUUACCAAUUCAUUAUUCGCUGAGUGGACUUUUCGAGGGGGUAGAACAUUUAAUAAGCAAAAUAACAUGACAAAAAACACUCAACCCCAUAAACAGAGCAGCUGACACAGCUUUCCCAGUAUCAGUGCUGACUAGAUGGAGUAAAGGCAUACUGCAUUAUCAGGGAGGGAUGCCAAAUGCAGGAGACGCAUACAAACAGACUUGGCUGUCAGAAGUCUUCAUGAAAACACUUGGUGAAAACACAACAAAUUCCUCUGCAGUAAGGCAAAAAAAAACUUUUGAUAAUCAUGUAACUCAUUUAUUAUUGAGUCCUGUUCAAAUUGCCAAACAUUUGCUGUUUGAAGAAUGUCAGCUUGGUUGAUUUUCUCUAUUACGAUUUAUUGUUGAUGAUGGUGAAGAAAAAUAGCCUGAAGACAUCACUUUGAGCUCUAUUAAACUGUGUUGGACAUUAUAAGUGACAGUAUGAUGACUAAAUUGGUAAUUGCCGAAUCCCUCAUGUCAACAAACGUGCAUUACACGUGAUGAUAAAUUAGCUACGGCCAAACUAGUUGCAGACAUAUUAUCAAUAACUGGCCACUGAUACAAAAAAUGUCAUCAAACUGGGGAACACUGAAGACAGCCUUAGAUGUACCUGACCUACACCGGUGGACAUGUAGAUGAGCGCACAGCAGACAGCCAGAUUGCUCCCACUGAAAGCCAUUGUUUACCAUUAGUGAUGUCACCAGCACCACU